rnacentral:SRP_RNA from 1 species
GCCAGGUGUGGUGGCGUGCACCUGUAAUCCCAGCUACUCAGGAGGCUGAGGCAGGAGAAUCACUUGAACCCAGGAGGUGGAGGUUGCAGUGAGGCAAGAUUGCACCACUGCACUCCAGCUUGGGUGACAGAGUGAGACUCCGUCUCCA